rnacentral:rRNA from 1 species
AACGAACGCUGGCGGCAGGCCUAACACAUGCAAGUCGAACGCCCUGGCAACAGGGAGUGGCAGACGGGUGAGUAACGCGUGGGAAUCUACCUUGUGGUACGGAACAACCAAGGGAAACUUUGGCUAAUACCGUAUGAGCCCUUCGGGGGAAAGAUUUAUCGCCAUAAGAUGAGCCCGCGUAGGAUUAGCUAGUUGGUGAG